rnacentral:rRNA from 1 species
AUGAUUUUUGAAAAUUUCAUACAGCUAGCUGAAGGUACGUGUGGAGCAGCGAAAGAAGAAUCUUAUGCAUUCUUGAAGAGUUUGUGGGAUAACCGGAUGCCUAUGGCUGGCCUCGGUUUCCAUCCGACUGAACAGGAGCUGCUCGACCAUCUUCGGGCGAAGCUAAUGGAUGACGGAAUCAAUUCUCAUCCACUCAUUGGCGAGUUUAUAACAACCAUACAGGACGAAGACGGCAUAUGCCACACUCAUCCCGAAAAUCUUCCAGGCGUUACAAAGGACGGCAGCGCAAAGUAUUUCUUCCAUCGCACAUCCAAUGCGUACACGACUGGCAAAAGGAAGAGGCGCCAGAUACAGGGGGAACUGACGUGGCAUCAGACGGGAAAAGGCUGUCCCGUUACCGUCGACGGUCGAGUGAUGGGAUACAAGAAGUUCAUGGUUCUGUACAAUUGGAGGCAACACAGGCGGGAGAGUGACAAAUGGGUGAUGCACCAAUUCCAUAUCGGCGAACGGUGGGAUGAGGAGGGAGAGCUGGUCGUCAGCAAGAUCUUCUGCCACCCCGCAAAAGAAAAAGAAAAAGCAAGAUCUUCUGCCAGACGAAGCACCCGUGAGACGAUGGUAAGGUAUUAG